CCCCGCCCAGCCCAAGGCAGGUGGAGGGUCCAUGACUGUGUGCCGGCUCACCACAGGCAGCUGCCCAUGGCCCUGUGCGGCUCUCCCUGACCCGGCUCCGGAUGGGGGGGCUUGGAGCCGGAGCCAGGCCAUGAAAAGAUGGAAGAACACCAAUAUAAGAAGACAUCCCUAGGUACGUCCCUGCAACAUCUAGCUACAACAGAAGACUCAGCUACAGGUGAAGUUUCAGCCUACAAGUCAUUUCUUUAAAUAAUAGGUGCCUCUGUUUUUCUGCAUGAAAUGACAGUCUUCAUUCUUGUCCAUCACUCAAAAUGACCAGGGUGGGAUGUGACACUGCCUAAUGCAGAAGGGAGCUGUAAUAUCAAGAAGACAACCGUGAAAUAGCACAUUACACACUGAACUGAACAGCAGGCUCAUUUACAUUCUUUUAAUUUGGAAAUAUGAAAACUCAGGAACUGUGCUCUCUCCUUGUGUUUCCUUAUUUGGACAACAUGUGAAUUUCAUGUAUGAUAAUUUAGCAUUUAACUGGUACAAGAAGUGCAAAUGCCAGGAGUGAAUGUUUCAAAGCAGACAGCAGUAACGACAGCUUUCUUUGUAAAUAACAUGUGGUGUAAACCAAUUCUAAGCAUUAUACAGCACACGCCGCUUUCACUGCCUGGGCCUGAUCCUGCAGAGCCUUACACACACCAGUCAUCUCUUAGAAAGCUGGUGUGAAGUUUGUAGGAUUGGGCCCUUUGCCCUUGCUGCUCUGGUGUGAAUGCUAUGAAGUGGGCAGCUGGAUGUAAAAGACUAAACUUGACCAGGCUCAAGUUUUCCUGUGUUUUGAAGUAAUUUUCCAGUAGCCUUCAAAAUCAAAGAAUCACAAAUGACGGUGCUAGGAGUAGGAAAAGACCUUUGGAUCAACAACCUCAAUCCUGUGCUGAGCAGAAUCUUUUACAUUACUCUCAAUAGUACUUUAUCCAGCCUAUUUGUGAAUCCCUCUGAUGAUGGUGACUCAUGUUCAAUAACUUACUUACUAAGCAGCUUAUUCUUUUGCCUGUGUAACAGGCCUUAUUAGUAAGACAUUUCUUGUGUAUCUAAACUGAGUUGUUUGUUCCACUUUUAAUUUUAGACCCUUUUACUGUCUCAGCUACAGGGAAGGUCCAUUCUCAUACCACACAGAUAUUAGCACAGUCUUAUCCUGUUCAUCUC